UACGUAGGGGGCUAGCGUUGUCCGGAAUCAUUGGGCGUAAAGAGCGUGUAGGCGGUCCGGUAAGUCCGCUGUGAAAGUCGGGGGCUCAACCCUCGAAUGCCGGUGGAUACUGUCGGGCUAGAGUGCGGAAGAGGCGAGUGGAAUUCCUGGUGUAGCGGUGAAAUGCGCAGAUAUCAGGAGGAACACCGAUAGCGAAGGCAGCUCGCUGGGACGGUACUGACGCUGAGGUGCGAAAGCGUGGGGAGCGAACAGG
rnacentral:rRNA from 1 species